CCUACGGGGGGCUGCAGUGGGGAAUAUUGGACAAUGGGGGGAACCCUGAUCCAGCCAUGCCGCGUGUGUGAAGAAGGCCCUCGGGUUGUAAAGCACUUUCAGUGAGGAAGAACGCCUGGUGGUUAAUACCCAUCAGGAAAGACAUCACUCACAGAAGAAGCACCGGCUAACUCCGUGCCAGCAGCCGCGGUAAUACGGAGGGUGCGAGCGUUAAUCGGAAUUACUGGGCGUAAAGCGCGCGUAGGUGGCUUGAUAAGCCGGUUGUGAAAGCCCCGGGCUCAACCUGGGAACGGCAUCCGGAACUGUCAAGCUAGAGUGCAGGAGAGGAAGGUAGAAUUCCCGGUGUAGCGGUGAAAUGCGUAGAGAUCGGGAGGAAUACCGGUGGCGAAGGCGGCCUUCUGGACUGACACUGACACUGAGGUGCGAAAGCGUGGGUAGCAAACAGGAUUAGAUACCCCUGUAGUC
rnacentral:rRNA from 1 species